AGCAGCCGCGGUAAUUCCAGCUCCAAUAGCGUAUAUUAAAGUUGUUGCAGUUAAAAAGCUCGUAGUUGAAUUUCGAGGUUAGUAGGUUGGUCAUGCCUCUGGUAUGUACUGGUCUCACUGAUUCCUCCUUCCUGAUGAACCUUAAUGCCAUUAAUUUGGUGUUUUGGGGAAUUUGGACUGUUACUUUGAAAAAAUUUAGAGUGUUUAAAGCAAGCUAACGCUUGAAUACAUUAGCAUGGAAUAAUGAAAUAGGACGUUCGAUCCUAUUUUGUUGGUUUCUAGGAUUGACGUAAUGAUUAAUAGGGAUAGUUGGGGGCAUUAGUAUUCAAUUGUCAGAGGUGAAAUUCUUGGAUUUAUUGAAGACUAACUACUGCGAAAGCAUUUGCCAAGGAUGUUUUCAUUAAUCAAGAACGAAAGUUAGGGGAUCGAAGACGAUCAGAUACCGUCGUAGUCUUAACCAUAAACUAUGCCGACUAGGGAUCGGAUGAUGUUAAUUUUUUAAUGACUCAUUCGGCGCCUU
rnacentral:rRNA from 1 species